UGCGAGUCUUUGCAGUAAUGCAAGGCAUACGGCUCAGUAACACGUAGUCAACUUACCCUAUGGACGAGGAUAAUCUCGGGAAACUGAGCAUAAUACUCGAUAGAUCAUAGUGCCUGGAAUGGUUUAUGGUUGAAAUGAUUCGUCGCCAUAGGAUGGGACUGCGGCCUAUCAGCUUGUUGGUGAGGUAAUGGCCCACCAAGGCGAUUACAGGUACGGGCUCUGAGAGGAGAAGCCCGGAGAUGGGUACUGAGACACGGACCCAGGCCCUAUGGGGCGCAGCAGGCGAGAAAACUUUGCAAUGUGCGAAAGCACGACAAGGUUAAUCCGAGUGAUUUCUGCUAAAGAAAUCUUUUGCCAGUCAUAAAACCACUGGUGAAUAAGGGGUGGGCAAGUUCUGGUGUCAGCCGCCGCGGUAAAACCAGCACCUCAAGUGGUCAGGAUGAUUAUUGGGCCUAAAGCAUCCGUAGCCGGCUUUGUUAGUUUUCGGUUAAAUCCAUGUGCUCAACACAUGGGCUGCCGAAAAUACUGCAUAGCUAGGGAGUGGGAGAGGUAGACGGUACUCAGUAGGAAGGGGUAAAAUCCUUUGAUCUAUUGAUGACCACCUGUGGCGAAGGCGGUCUACCAGAACACGUUCGACGGUGAGGGAUGAAAGCUGGGGGAGCAAACCGGAUUAGAUACCCGGGUAGUCCCAGCUGUAAACGAUGCAGACUCGAUGAUGCAUUGGCAUAAUAGCCAGUGCAGUGUCGCAGGGAAGCCGUUAAGUCUGCCGCCUGGGAAGUACGUACGCAAGUAUGAAACUUAAAGGAAUUGGCGGGGGAGCACCACAAGGGGUGAAGCCUGCGGUUCA
rnacentral:rRNA from 1 species